rnacentral:rRNA from 1 species
AGCAGCCGCUGUAAUUCCAGCUCCAAUAGCGUAUAUUAAAGUUGUUGCAGUUAAAAAGCUCGUAGUUGAAUUUCGGGAUCGAAUUGUUGGUCGUGCCUCGGUACGCACUGGCAUUAUCGGUUCCUACCUUCUGAAGAACCGCGAUGUCAUUAAUUUGGUGUCGUGGGGAAUCAGGACUGUUACUUUGAAAAAAUUAGAGUGUUUAAAGCAGGCUUACGCUUGAAUACAUUAGCAUGGAAUAAUGAAAUAGGACGUUUGAUUCUAUUUUGUUGGUUUCUAGGAUCGACGUAAUGAUUAAUAGGGAUAGUUGGGGGCAUUAGUAUUCAAUUGUCAGAGGUGAAAUUCUUGGAUUUAUUGAAGACUAACUACUGCGAAAGCAUUUGCCAAGGAUGUUUUCAUUAAUCAAGAACGAAAGUUAGGGGAUCGAAGACGAUCAGAUACCGUCGUAGUCUUAACCAUAAACUAUGCCGACUAGGGAUCGGAUGAUGUUAAUUUUUUUAAUGACUC